rnacentral:rRNA from 1 species
AACGAACGCUAGCGGUGUGGAUUAGGCAUGCAAGUCGCGCGCGAAAGCCUUCGGGCGAGUAAAGCGGCGAAAGGGCGAGUAACACGUAACCAACGUACCCCUCAGACUGGGAUAACCACUGGAAACGGUGGAUAAUACCGGAUGGUCCACUGGGCAGCAUUGCCUGGCUGGUAAACGGCGGCCGCAAGGCGGUUGCUGAGGGAGCGGGUUGCGGCCUAUCAGCUUGUUGGUGAGGUAACGGCUCACCAAGGCCAUGACGGGUAACAGGUCUGAGAGGAUGAUCUGUCACACUGGGACUGAGACACUGCCCAGACUCCUACGGGAGGCUGUAGUCGAGAAUCUUCCACAAUGGGCGAAAGCCUGAUGGAGCGACACCGCGUGCAGGAUGAAGGCC